AUAAGAUUAGCUGAAUCCAAUCAAGUGAUGAAGGAAUCUAGGUGGGAGAUUAGGGAAUACAGCGACGCAACUCUGAUGAAAACAGGUGAAGAAAAUUACAAGCAAAUUAGAUAAGCAUUUAGCUCUCCUCGGGAGACUCAGUUUAUAGCCAAGUGGAUCCCAUUUGUAGGACGUGGGCUCAGCACACCCUGAAGGCUGACCGGUUGAAAAGGCUUAUCCUGCCCGUCAGGAAAGCAAGAACUCUCAAGUCGACAGUCUAGCUCCUGAGCUCAUAUGUGGACUUAAAUCUCUGGUUAAUGAGAAAGGCCGUUCAGUAAGAAGGUAGCUCCAAUGUACUGGGAAUUAUAAAACUGCUCCCUCAUCAGGCUUCUCUACAUUGGCCUUAGAAGUGACAAACCUUCAGAAAUAGCAGGCACCUACCCGUGGCCCAUCCAAACAAGAUCCUGACAAAUUCGAGAGUAAUUUGUAGAGACCGUGUUGUAUGAAAGAUAUUCAGGUUCCUAGAUCUAAGAACACCUGCGAGGAUUAUGAUAGCUGGAGAUUUCUUAAAUGAAAGCAAGAGUGAAUUUCUUUGUGUUGUUCCAGAAAAGAAAAUGAACGUGUCAUUGAAGGCACAUAGACCAGAGACACACACCUGUUGAAUGAUGCUAAUUUGCUGGCUGUGUUUACAGAAGAUGACCCUGCUCUCUUGGUUCCAACUAAUUGUACCAGGGGCCACAUGUCUCGGAUUCCCUUUCUCAAAAACCGAAAGAAGGAAAUUAUAGUCAGAUGGCUGGGGACAGUGGAACUGGCCACAAGAUCAGAGUUGGCUCAAUGGCAAGUCAGUGCUACUGGAGCCUGUCAGAUGAAUCCAGUCUAUAAAAAUAAGAAAGAAGCAGAUGUUCGGGGAGAAGAAGAGAGAUACAUGGGAAGCCCUUUCAUCAGCCCCUGGGACAGCACUGCCUGCCACAAUCGUUGAUCACUCCACGUCAGAAAAUUGAGAGCUGUGAGGCAGGGAGCGGGAGAGAGAAGCAAUGCCAGCUGCUAUGUGGGGAGUCCUUACUAUGUGCCUGGCCCAGGAGGAAAGAACCGGAUGGCUGAUUUCACUUUAUCUUUUCAACAACCCCGUAGAACAGAUACAACUAUUAGCCCCACUUUACAAGUUGAGAAAACCGAGACUUGCCCAUCAUCAGAUGUACAGUGGAGUUUCAAGAGGCUACGUGACAUGUGAUAUCUCAAGAUUGAAGGCAAAAGAAGAUGGGAGAACCAGCCCCCCAUACAUAGUUCUAUAUUCUAGUUGUAGGUCCUUCUGGUUGUGCUGUGUGGGACACUGCCUCAGUAUGGCUCAAUGAGUGGUGCCGAGUCCACACCCAGGAUCCGAACUGGUGAAGUCCUCAGCUGCUGAAGCGGAGUAUGCGAACUUAACCACUACACCACUGGGUUGGCCUCAUAUUUAACUCUUUAAUACAACUACAAUUUAUUUCUUCAGAUGAUGCAGAGAUCUAGCUUAUUUUUCCAAAUGAAUGUCUGUUUCCUCAAAAUCACUUUUUGAAUGGUUCCUCUUUUCAUCACUGAUUUUGAAAUGCCAGGGUGAUCAUAAUAAAUUCCUAAA
ensembl:lncRNA